rnacentral:misc_RNA from 1 species
AAAGUCGUAACAAGGUCUCCGUUGGUGAACCAGCGGAGGGAUCAUUACCGAGUUUACAACUCCCAAACCCCAUGUGAACAUACCAUACGUUGCUUCGGCGGUACCGCCCCGGCGCCUUCGGGCCCGGAACCAGGCGCCCGCCGGGGGACCAACCGAAACCCUUUUAAUCCCGGGCCCACCAGCUCGGCGGCAUUAUCUGAGUACAGCGAACUAAAAAACGCAUAAAAACUUUUAACAACGGAUCUCUUGGUUCUG